rnacentral:rRNA from 1 species
AUGUACCACAACAUACGGUCAUUUGUCAAACAAGAUGGUUUGGAUUGUAGUCAUCUGGAGCUCUACUUCUAUGAUGAUGAUCCCAGUUUAGAGCAUAGGUAUCGCAGUUGUCGCAAAGAGCAGUGCCAGAAAGACAAAGAAGUAAUCACACAACUGGUCGACAUACUUCGUGGCAACCCAUACGCUGAACACCUCCGUAGUAUGGGGCAUGUUGAUGAUGUGGAUGACUAUCACAUAACACUUAACCUUGACCAAAGGAUGGCUCAGAGAAGAUAUAAUGCGCCAACCACUUCAGAAGUAGCAGCUGUGCGGGUGGAGGGCAGUGAAUGUCGAAGAUAG